GGGGAUGCGUGGUUUCGACAGGGCAGGCGACGGGAUCGUCGCGAGCCGAGGAUGUCGCUUCACACCUCGUUAAUCCGAGCGGCAGCCAGACAACUGGCAACACUUCUUACGCUCUCGCUGCCUAAACAGUGAGCGUCCUCCCGGUCUCCUCUCCGCGGGCCGGGAAGGGCGACGAAAGCGGAGAUGCGNNNNNNNNNNNNNNNNAACCGACCUGGGGAGACCGAGAGCGCGUCGGUGCGCGCUCGGGAUCCCGAGACAAAAAAUCGCCGACCACGCUCGUAGACGCGGUCCAGUCAAUCGUCUUGGACGGGGAGUUCGACCCUCCCCCAUCUCCACAG
rnacentral:tmRNA from 1 species